rnacentral:rRNA from 1 species
UACGUAUGUCGCAAGCGUUAUCCGGAAUUAUUGGGCAUAAAGGGCGUCUAGGUGGUUUGCUAAGUCUGAUGUGAAAAUGCGGGGCUCAACUCCGUAUUGCGUUGGAAACUGGCUUACUAGAGUCUUGGAGAGGUGGGCGGAACUACAAGUGUAGAGGUGAAAUUCGUAGAUAUUUGUAGGAAUGCCGAUGACGAAGGUAGCUCACUGGACAAGUACUGACACUAAAGCGCGAAAGCUAGGGGAGCAAACAGG